rnacentral:rRNA from 1 species
UACAGAGACUGCAAGCGUUAUUCGGAUUCACUGGGCGUAAAGGGUGCGCAGGCGGCCGUGUGUGUGAGGCGUGAAAGCCCGGGGCUUAACCCCGGAAUUGCACCUCAAACUACAUGGCUAGAGCAUUGGAGAGGGUAGCGGAAUUCACGGUGUAGCAGUGAAAUGCGUAGAUAUCGUGAGGAACACCAGAGGCGAAGGCGGCUACCUGGACAAUUGCUGACGCUCAGGCACGAAGGCCAGGGGAGCAAACGGG